ACGUCCCUGCCCUUUGUACACACCGCCCGUCGCUACUACCGAUUGAAUGGCUUGGUGAGACUCUCGGAUUAGGUUUUGGGGAUCGGCAACGGUUCCUUUUUCUUGAGAAGUUUGUCAAACUUGGUCAUUUAGAGGAAGUAAAAGUCGUAACAAGGUUUCCGUAGGUGAACCUGCGGAAGGAUCAUUAGAAUACUGGGAAUUUAUUUUCCUGAUACUUUAUUCAAAAAAUUUUUAACCUAAAAAAAAAUACAAUUUUUUUAAAAAUAUAAAACUUAAAUAAAGAUAACUUUCAACAACGGAUCUCUUGGCUCUUGCAUCGAUGAAGAACGCAGCGAAAUGCGAUAAGUAAUGUGAAUUGCAGAAUUCCGUGAAUCAUCAAAUCUUUGAACGCAAAUUGCACUUCUUGGUAUUCCGAGAAGUAUACUUGCUUGAGGGUUGGUCUACAAAAUAAAUCGUGGAAAAUUUGAUUUUUCGCGGAUCUGGGUUUUUCCAAAAUAUUGGUAACCUUAAAUUUAUCUUAACAAUCAUUAGGCAUUGAUAUUAGAAAUGUUCAUCUUACGCAUUGGUAAUUACGCAUUGAUAAUUAUACCUAUUGUUACAUCGCGUUAUUCAUCUGGUAUCCUUUAUUAGGUGUAUUAACUCAAUCUUUUUAAUCCGACCUCAAGUCAAGUAAGAAUACCCGCUGAACUUAAGCAUAUCAAUAAGCGGAGGAAAAGAAACUAACUAGGAUUCCCUUAGUAACGGCGAGUGAACCGGGAAGAGCUCAAAUUUUAAAUCACCUUGGUGAAUUGUAAUUUGAAGAAAGUGUUUUGACUUUUCAGUUUAAUCCAAAUCCUUUGGGAUGAGGUAUCACAGAGGGUGAGAAUCCCGUUCGUGAUUAGACAUCGGAAUGCAUUAAUUCACUUUCUAAGAGUCGAGUUGUUUGGGAUUGCAGCUCAAAAUGGGUGGUAAAUUUCACCUAAGGCUAAAUAUAUGCGAGAGACCGAUAGCGAACAAGUACCGUGAGGGAAAGAUGAAAAGAACUUUGAAAAGAGAGUUAAACAGUACGUGAAAUUGUUGAAAGGGAAACGAUUGAAGUCAGUCAUGCUAGUGAGAAAUCAACUUGUGUGGAGCGAGUUUUUUCUCAAUCUUCCUUGUGUACUUUCUUGCUUGGCAGGUUAGCAUCAAUUUUGGUUGUCAUCAAAGAAUUGGGGAAAUGUGGCUUCUCUUCGGUGAAGUGUUAUAGACCCUGAUAGAUGUGACGACUGAGAUUGAGGAUUGCAGCGGAUGCCUUUGGGCUAGUCACCUAUCUUCUGACUGUCACCUCGCUCUUGACAGCUUGCUGAUGAUUGUGAGAUUUGUUAGUUUAGAAUUUAGAUUGAACAUAAAUUCGCUAAGGAUGCUGACGUAAUGGCUUUAAACGACCCGUCUUGAAACACGG
rnacentral:rRNA from 1 species